CGUACGCUUGUUGUGGGCAGAUCAAAUGGAUAUGAGAAUCGAAGCCGCCAUAGGUGACAAUUUUGUGCUCGCCUGCGAUCACGUCAGUCGUGCUUCCGAUGACCAUACGAGGGUCAACGCCAGCCAUGACGUCCGGAUUUCCAGCUUUGCCUACGCCAACAAUAAUGCCGUUCUUGAUGCCGAUAUCUGCCUUAUAUAUACCGGUGUAGUCCACGAUGAGUGCGUUCGUAACAACAGUGUCCAGAGCGUCCUUGUCAGCACGACCAGAAGCCUGGCCCAUGCCAUCGCGAAUG
rnacentral:sRNA from 1 species